rnacentral:rRNA from 1 species
CAGGUUUACCUGUGUGACUGCGUACCUUUUGUAUAAUGGGUCAGCGACUUAUAUUCUGUAGCAAGGUUAACCGUAUAGGGGAGCCGUAGGGAAACCGAGUCUUAACCGGGCGUUAAGUUGCAGGGUAUAGACCCGAAACCCGGUGAUCUAGCCAUGGGCAGGUUGAAGGUUGGGUAACACUAACUGGAGGACCGAACCGACUAAUGUUGAAAAAUUAGCGGAUGACCUGUGGCUGGGGGUGAAAGGCCAAUCAAACCGGGAGAUAGCUGGUUCUCCCCGAAAGCUAUUUAGGUAGCGCCUCGUGAAUUCAUCUCCGGGGGUAGAGCACUGUUUCGGCUAGGGGGCCAUCCCGGCUUACCAACCCGAUGCAAACUGCGAAUACCGGAGAAUGUUAUCACGGGAGACACACGGCGGGUGCUAACGUCCGUCGUGAAGAGGGAAACAACCCAGACCGCCAGCUAAGGUCCCAAAGUCAUGGUUAAGUGGGAAACGAUGUGGGAAGGCCCAGACAGCCAGGAUGUUGGCUUAGAAGCAGCCAUCAUUUAAAGAAAGCGUAAUAGCUCACUGGUCGAGUCGGCCUGCGCGGAAGAUGUAACGGGGCUAAACCAUGCACCGAAGCUGCGGCAGCGACACUGUGUGU